UUGACCUCGGAUCAGGUAGGGAUACCCGCUGAACUUAAGCAUAUCAAUAAGCGGAGGAAAAAGAAACCAACCGGGAUUGCCUCAGUAACGGCGAGUGAAGCGGCAAGAGCUCAAAUUUGAAAUCUGGCCCCUCCGGGUCCGAGUUGUAAUUUGUAGAGGAUGCUUCGGGUGCGGCCCCCGUCUAAGUGCUCUGGAACGGGCCAUCGGAGAGGGUGAGAAUCCCGUCUGGGACGGGGUGUCCGCGUCCAUGUGAAGCUCCUUCGACGAGUCGAGUUGUUUGGGAAUGCAGCUCUAAAUGGGUGGUAAAUUUCAUCUAAAGCUAAAUACUGGCCGGAGACCGAUAGCGCACAAGUAGAGUGAUCGAAAGAUGAAAAGCACUUUGAAAAGAGAGUUAAACAGCACGUGAAAUUGUUGAAAGGGAAGCGCUUGCGACCAGACUCGCUUCCGGGGUUCAGCCGGCUUUCGGGCCGGUGUACUUCCCCGGGGGCGGGCCAGCGUCGGUUUGGGCGGCCGGUCAAAGGCCCCUGGAAUGUAACCGCUCCUCGGGGCGCCUUAUAGCCAGGGGUG
rnacentral:rRNA from 1 species